UACGUAGGGCGCGAGCGUUGUCCGGAAUUAUUGGGCGUAAAGAGCUCGUAGGCGGCUUGUCACGUCGGGUGUGAAAGCCCGGGGCUUAACCCCGGGUCUGCAUUCGAUACGGGCUAGCUAGAGUGUGGUAGGGGAGAUCGGAAUUCCUGGUGUAGCGGUGAAAUGCGCAGAUAUCAGGAGGAACACCGAUGGCGAAGGCAGGUCUCUGGGCCACUACUGACGCUGAGAAGCGAAAGCAUGGGGAGCGAACAGG
rnacentral:rRNA from 1 species